GACGAACGCUGGCGGCGUGCUUAACACAUGCAAGUCGAACGAAGUGGCGCACGGGUGAGUAACGCGUAAUCAACCUGCCCUUCAGGGGGGGACAACAGUUGGAAACGACUGCUACUACCGCCUCCUGCAGGCGGGGAUUGCGUCUGAUUAGCUAGUUGGCGGGGUAACGGCCCACCAAGGCGAUGAUCAGUAGCCUGGUUGAGAGGAUGAACGGCAACAGUGGGACUGAGACACGGCCAAGACUCCUACGGGAGGCAGCAGUGGGGAAUCUUCCGCAAUGGACGAAAGUCUGACGGAGCAACGCCGCGUGAGUGAUGACGGCCUUCGGGUUGUAAAGCUCUGUUAAUCGGGACGCGGUACCGGAAUAGAAAGCCACGGCUAACUACGUGCCAGCAGCCGCGGUAAUUC
rnacentral:rRNA from 1 species